UACGUAGGGUGCAAGCGUUAAUCGGAAUUACUGGGCGUAAAGCGUGCGCAGGCGGUUUUUGUAAGUUUUGUCGUGAAAGCCCCGGGCUCAACCUGGGAAUUGCGAUGAAGACUGCAAGGCUUGAAUCUGGCAGAGGGGGGUAGAAUUCCACGUGUAGCAGUGAAAUGCGUAGAGAUGUGGAGGAACACCGAUGGCGAAGGCAGCCCCCUGGGUCAAGAUUGACGCUCAUGCACGAAAGCGUGGGGAGCAAACAGG
rnacentral:rRNA from 1 species